ACGAGAUCGUCGUAUUUUGAUUGAUUACCAAUUUUAUUUUGUUCAGUAAAGAUUGAAUUUUUACCCCAGUUUUAAUAGUGCUGCACCAAAUUAUCCAUGAAGUUAUUGGUGUGCAAAUUAAUCGCAUCGCACACCAUGUUCGUAAUGUGAUAUCGGGGAGCAACCUGCUGUGUACUCUUCAAUUUUGACCAUGAAAUCUAGUAAACGAAGACUGCAAGCACUAACCGAAGGAACAGAUGGAAACCUACCUAGUUAUCUCAAAAUGGAAGACUCUGAAACAUCAAUCCCACCCGUAUUUAGGUCCCGACUACAUGAGCUAUUUACUCAGAUAGAGAAAGAGUUUGAUCUCUUGUACACGGAAAACUUAAAUCUACAAGAGAAGAUAGAUAUAUUAAGUGAAAAACUGGAGAGAGAAAGUUAUCUGGGUGAUAAGCAGAAUCCUGAUUAUAUUGAAUUUGAAGCUACGGGGAAAUCUUCAAAAACCAAAUUAUCCCAAAGCAACUCCCAAAAAGUGAAAGCGAGCCACAAACUCCGAGUGCAGACGAGCAAGAUCGUGUCCAGCUUCAAAGCGCCCACAUACAACUGUCAGCUGGUCCGGGAGUUCACUGGGCACAAGGAUGGCAUCUGGGAUGUGUCCUCGUCCAGACCAGGGCAGGCUCUUAUUGGGACAGCUUCAGCCGAUCACACAGCGUGCGUCUGGAGCGUGGAAUGGGGCAAAUGCCUCCUCCAGUACACUGGGCACGCUGGCUCCGUCAACUCUAUCCGUUUCCACUCCAAUCGCGACAUCGCGCUCACCAGCAGCGGGGAUAAUACUGCGCACGUGUGGCAGGCGGCUGUCAACUGGGACUUGCCGCGCGGCCAAUCAUCCGAAGAAGAACUCGAAGGAGGUGGCGAAGAAAGCCUCGGUGAAGGCAGCGACCGGCCUGAAGUGCUCCGAACCCCGCUCACAACACUAGUCGGUCACUCUGGAGUCGUGGUCGCCGCUGAUUGGCUGACGGGCGGCGAUCACGUGAUCACGGCCUCGUGGGACAGGACCGCUAAUCUGUACGAUGUUGAGACUGGGGACUGUCUGCAGAUACUCAUGGGACACGACCACGAGUUAACACACGCUUCUGCUCAUCACAGCUCGCGACUUGUAGUAACAGCGUCUCGAGAUACAACUUUCCGAUUGUGGGACUUCCGCGAACCCAUACACUCUGUGUCCGUCUUCCAGGGACACACUGAGAGUGUUACUUCUGCAGUAUUCACCCGUGAAGAUAAAGUGGUAUCUGGCUCUGAUGAUCGCUCAGUUAAGGUAUGGGACGUCCGCAACAUGCGCAGCGCCCUAGCCACGAUCCGUUCAGACUCCUCCGUGAACAGAGUCGGCGUGAGCAGUUCCGGCCUAAUCGCCAUCCCGCACGACAACCGGCAGGUCCGCCUGUUCGACCUGCAGGGGCAGCGGCUGGCUCGCCUGCCGCGCUCUAGCCGACAGGGCCACCGUCGCAUGGUGACGUCAGUCGCAUGGGCAGAAGACAUAUCUCCCAACAUCAACUUCUUCAGCUGUGGAUUCGACCGCCGUAUCCUCGGUUGGUCUAUACAACCCUCCAAAGAUAAUUAGUUUACUUUAACUGUUACAAAGGUUUUAACUACGCGCACACCGCUAUGAACACUGUACUGUACCUAUUUUACAGCAAAUUGUCUAUGAACGAAUAAUUUGAACUGUUUAACACUGAUUGUAUACGCAUUGUCUAGCAAAUCAAUUUUGUCAGCACAAAAAGCGGCAACUCUUAAGAAUGAGUUCCACAUACAAAUUUUGAGAGUGGUUUUUCGCUGAGUAACAAAUUGAUUUGCCAGAAUAAAUAAACGUUGCGAUUUAUCAGCGUACGACCAGUGCAAUUGUUACAUGAAUUUUAGUUUUCUUGAGAAAAACAAAAACAAUGAAUUCCGAAAAACAAUCGAUUGAAGUGUUUAUAACAUAUGUAAGUCAUAAUGUGCAAUGAAGAAUGUACAUAUCGGUUCCAAUGGUAUUUAUAUUGCAUAAGGUGGGCGUUUAGAAAGUUAUUAUCGUCUAGUCUUGUUUUCUUUUAAUGUCCUAUUGAUACGCUCAUCUGUACCAUUGUGUAUGGGAUCAUGUUUGAGUUUGACCCUCUCUUGUUUACUUCAAUGAGGUUUUUCUUAAUAGUUCAUGUUUCUUAUAUAAAACAAUUGGGUUUGGAUACUAACUGAAGAAAUUAAUUAAUUUUACAGGGAAGUUUUGGGUUCACCAGUUUUUUAGUGCUUUGGUAGGGAGUACGGACAUUUAUUAGACUUCUAUCUGUGACUGAAAUUCGUCUUCAAAUGAUAAUAAUUGGAAUUAGCGCAGUAAGUAAGAAAAAUGAAGAUGUAAAAAUCGGUUGAUAAAAAUGUAUAGGAAUUAUAUUCUAUUGUUCAGUGGCAAAUAUAAUAUUCUGUUUUGGAAUAAAUAAGGCCUGAUUUAGACGGCGUGCGAACUCGCAUGCGAUUUUAGUUGCAGUUGUUACAUACAAUUUGGCACAACCAUCAAAUACCGCAAUGUAAUAAAACUUGUAUGCGAGUUUUCGUACCGUAUGGGCCCUUAGUGUUGAGAGUAAUUUUGCUUCCAAAUUAUGGUAGGUUGAAGUUUAUUGCUAGAAUGAUAGGGACGCGAAAUAUCGCAACAACGCAUUCGUGUAACAACAAAAAGUUACAAGAACAAAAUCUUACUCUUGCUGCCAAUGUCAAAAAUAAUUGAAAAAUUCGUAUUGGAUAAUAGAUAAGUCAUACAAGAAAUUGAACUAAAACAACUAUGAAGUUUGUGAAAUGAAAUUGUCUUUGUCAUUUUUUUGUAGUGGUACACAUUUUUAUGAUGGGUUUGUUUCAUUUGGAGAAAUUAUUGAUAAGAAAGCCACUAUAAUCGAUUGGUGUUACUGUCAAAUCAAUACAUUGUUAUGAAGUUUUUUUCGGGUUUGGUAACACAUCAUGUGUACAACUACACUGAACUCCGUACCAACAUCAAUUGCAGUUACAUCUUUCCUAAUAUUUCUGUGUGCGUCCUCAAACCUUGCACAACGUUUGUUUAACACAUUCACUGCUAGAAACCCGGCUGGAGGGCGCUUGUGAACAUUGCUCAGAUGCCUGACUACCCGCUAGGUGGGUGGUAGUUAUACAAGAUAACACUUAUAGAUCAAUAAUCGGUUUCUGGAGUAGUGUACCUACCGUUUUUUGCAUGGCAGUGAAUGUGUUAAAUUUCUUCAGAAUAUCUCUUAAUUUAGUCGUAAAAAUCAGAAGCGUUUCACACUUUAUUAUUAUAAUUUAGCAAAUGCAAAUACUAACAGCACAAAAUACUAAUCAAUUGUUAUAGAUAGAAUACUUUAAAUAUGUUGUUGGCUUUUAGUAGUCUAUUAAGUGUUUUUAAUAUUUGUUUGUCCAUUAAUUGUAAUCGCUAUUUAAUAUUUAAAUUAAGUUGGUUGUUGGCGAUUGUAUUCGUAUGUUAGAGUGGGUCACAUUUAUCAGAAUCCAGCCCCAUUUUAUAAAUGAGAAAUACCUUGUCAGUGUGUUUAGUAUACAUAUGCGUUACCAAUCAUCAUGAUCAUAUCAGUCGUUUAUCGCCCGCUGUUGAGCAUAAGAGCUUUUCGAGUACGCCUCCUAUCCUGGUUCUGAGGCAAUCAAAAGUUACCCUCAAUCUUUUUUUUAAAUCUUUAUUUGAGUAAAAAGGCCUUUUUUGCUAAGCGAUGAUGUCAGACUCAUGGUAAUUACAUGGUAUGAUUAAUUUCAAAAUUUCAACGAGUAAACAGUUUGAUCACAGAUUUUGAUGAUCAAAUAAUAUUACAUACGGAUAAUGAUGUGCAAGUUGCGGAAACUUUCCAAAAAAAAUCUUAAAUUUCUUGAAAAAUUCAAGAAACUUUCACGAAAAAUAAAGGGAAAUUAAAUUUAUGAAAUGGAAAGUUUCCAUCGAUACAAUUGUCCGUACAAAGUAUUGAAAGUUUCCGAAGUUUUCUUAUGUGAGAAUUUCAGAAUUUUGGAAACUUUCCGUAGGCACAUCAGUACAUACGGAUGUCGUUCUCCCAACGAGCAAACGGACGCCAGGAAUUCUUUCCUUUAAAGUGGCUACCAUUUUAACCCACCUCUGCCAUCACUGCUUAAUAUGCGUACGCAUGGACAAACUGAAUGCAUGCAUACUCACCGGCAUGCUAAAAGUAUUUUCCCCUCACUAGCUCGGAAACUCACUGUUUUGUCCUUUAAUACCAGUGGGUAAAAACGCAUUUUA
rnacentral:misc_RNA from 1 species